UCGCACCUCGCCUCCCCUACAGUUCUCCGAUUCCUGUUUUCCGCGAGGAAUGUCUUCGGACCCCUUGGCCGGUCUUUUCAAUCCGCACGACACGUCGCUACUCAAGGUCAAUGCGACCUAAUGUGUAUGCCGCGUGGGGAUGGUCGUGUGAGAUGGGCUGGCUAGCUCUGGCUGCAGAUCGGCCAUAGGGAACGGUGUCUCGGAACUUAACCCUAAUAUCUCCCAUGGUUUCAGUCUUGCGUUCAUAGUCGUCCGUGUCCACCUUAUAUACUGCUCGUUGCCCUUGCGAUCUCGUCCCCGCUGAAAAGCAGGGCCGGGUGAGCAGUCUUCGAGUGGUGGAAGGGUGGUGUUGGACACUCCAGUCGCUUUUGCGCGUGAGGAUCUGUGCUAUGAGUCGUUUUGGGAAGAACCCCUGGCCUGGGGUCGCUCGUCAGCACUGUAUCACUGGAACUUGUACUCUGGUCAUUAUGGAUCGUACCGGCGAUGCUAGUCUUGCUUAGCUAUCGGGAGAUGUGGUGGGGUCAGCUUGCUACUGUUGACUUGACAUAUGCUGGUACCUCGUACCGCGUCGCGCUUCCGAGAGCCUAUGGGAAGGGCGCAAUCUUGGCUACAUACAGUCCGAGGGACAGAGCAUUUCAUCACACUCUACCACUACCGUCUCUCUUCUCGCCGGAAUCGCCUGAUAUCGUCUUCCCCAGCUGUUGUCGAGUCGGGCGAGCGGGAAUUGUCACGGUUUCAACAGAAAUGCUCGGCCUUGGACAUAAUACCCUUGCCUCGAUGCUAGCCCUGGGUACCCAGACCUCUCUUGUCGCACUUGAUUGACGUAGCUGUCGGUAUAAAACCCGACUUCUCUACGAGCGCCCACCAAUUCAUCCAACCCGUCAGCUGAGCCUGCCAGCUCCCAGUACUGCAUUUCAGCAACAGCUACCAAUGUAUCCUCUGAGGUCCGACCGGGCGCAUUAACCUUCUCUUGUGGGCUUGACCUACAAUGACGGAGAACGCCAUCUUUUCGGUAAUUGCCUUGCGGUGAUUGCUGCUUCCUCAUCUUAGCCCUGUUUUUUUUUUUUUCUCAACAGGGCUAAAUCGAGAUGACAGUGCGGAUUUUACGGAUGUCUUUUGGCCGUACGCAAAUGCCUUCCCAGCUGCUCACCUCAGCCCGACGGAAGCGAACCAAAAACUAGUCUUUGUUGGCAGUGCAUUCUUCUGAAAGACCUUCACUUGAGUGGAUCCAAAAGCAUAACUUGUGUGAAAAUUUCGCCGAUAUCACGUCAAACUUCGAGGACGGUUCACAUCUAAUUUGAGUUUUCGGCCGUUGGGUAAUAUGAACCUGAGCAAACUAUAAGGCAUUGUCCCCCAUAUAUUCAUCUGCCGGGACCCAUCUCGAGUUGGUGUCAAAGUUUAGUGCUUGUCCGGUCUUGAAUAAUCUGGGUGCGGCAAUACCCGGCAAGUGAGCUCUAUUCGGCAAUUUUUUGUAUUACAACCAAAAGGACCCCCCCUUGGAGGUGGUCAUAGGCUGUUCU
rnacentral:telomerase_RNA from 1 species